rnacentral:rRNA from 1 species
UACGUAGGGGGCUAGCGUUGUCCGGAAUCAUUGGGCGUAAAGAGCGUGUAGGCGGUCCGGUAAGUCCGCUGUGAAAGUCGGGGGCUCAACCCUCGAAUGCCGGUGGAUACUGUCGGGCUAGAGUGCGGAAGAGGCGAGUGGAAUUCCUGGUGUAGCGGUGGAAUGCGCAGAUAUCAGGAGGAACACCAAUAGCGAAGGCAGCUCGCUGGGACGUUACUGACACUGAGGCGCGAAAGCGUGGGGAGCGAACAGG